CUACAGGGGUUUCUAAUCCUGUUUGCUACCCACGCUUUCGCGCUUUAGCGUCAGUAUCUGUCCAGUAAGCUGGCUUCCCCAUCGGCAUUCCUACAAAUAUCUACGAAUUUCACCUCUACACUUGUAGUUCCGCUUACCUCUCCAGUACUCUAGUUAACCAGUUUCCAACGCAAUACGGAGUUGAGCUCCGCAUUUUCACAUCAGACUUAAUUAACCGCCUAGACGCGCUUUACGCCCAAUAAAUCCGGAUAACGCUUGUGACAUACGUAUUACCGCGGCUGCUGGCAC
rnacentral:rRNA from 1 species